GUCCCUUCGUGUGUAGUGUCUUAUUCACUCCCCUCCUUUGUUUUGCUUUGCCCUUGUGUGUUUGGAGUGUUAAUUUUGGAUUGUGGUGCUCCCAUUUUAAGUUUAUACUUUCACCCCUCACUCACCUUGAGCACAACUGCCCCAGCCCUGGAAUACAUGAUAAUUUAUACAAAUAGGAUAACUUUUUUUAGAUUUGAAUUGUGCCCAAUAAACUGUUGUAUAUGCUUUUGGAAACACGUCUCUCGCCUGCUCAGUGUAACGAACUUGUGUUGUCCUUUUGUUUAGAUUUAGUAAUUUACCUUAUUCAUAGAUUUCUUUCUUUUCCCUGGGUGAUUUCUCCCAGGGUGGCGUUGCUGGUUUCCUUUAGUUUUUCUUUUUCCCCUAGUUAAAAACAUAGAUUAUUGGGGUAGUUCCUACCCCACCUCACGCUUGCCACAUGAACAUAAGGAACAAAGCGUGAGUGUUGUAUGGUGCUUGGUGUGUCUCUAAAUCUCAUCCUCAUCAGACCUGUGUCUGCCUGGUUGGCACUUUCUGCUUUUCCUCUGACCUAAAAAGAAUGAUUCACAGCAACAACCGAAUCUACACAGCGAUAUGGCCUGAUGUCCUCCUGAUGACAACUGAUCCAGCCUCUGGCCGAUGCCCUGAGAGACCUCUACAGGAACUUUAACACUCUCAAAGAUGAGCUGGGGAAGCUCACGUCAAAGUUAGACAGCGUGGAGGGUUUUGUGGACAACCUGAAGGACGGCAGGUUGUCUGUGGCUCAGCGGCCCGUACAGAGGCUUCCCCCCCCCAUCGGUGUGAGGUCUCCACUGAGAGCUCAGAUGAGGGCUCCUGACAAGGGGACAAUCAAGGGGUCAAAGGUGAUCAGAGCCAGGAGAAGAGGACCACAGAGGCCGUAGACCGAUCAGUACUGAUGC
ensembl:lncRNA